AACGAACGCUGGCGGCAGGCCUAACACAUGCAAGUCGAACGCCCCGCAAGGGGAGUGGCAGACGGGUGAGUAACGCGUGGGAACGUGCCCUUCGGUUCGGAAUAACUCAGGGAAACUUGAGCUAAUACCGGAUACGUCCGUAAGGAGAAAGAUUUAUCGCCGAAGGAUCGGCCCGCGUCGGAUUAGCUAGUUGGUGAGGUAACGGCCCACCAAGGCGACGAUCCGUAGCUGGUCUGAGAGGAUGANCAGCCACACUGGGACUGAGACACGGCCCAGACUCCUACGGGAGGCAGCAGUGGGGAAUAUUGGACAAUGGGCGAAAGCCUGAUCCAGCCAUGCCGCGUGAGUGAAGAAGGCCUUCGGUUG
rnacentral:rRNA from 1 species